GCAAGUCACUUGACAACACAAAAUCGUACCCAGCAUUUGUGCCUGACAACACAGACAUCCCAGCACCGUGAUGGAGGCUUUGGAUCCAGUUGAUUUCAGGUAACUGCCUGAGAGAUCUCUCUAGCAUGCAUGGUUAAGUGUGUCGUUCCGUGGCUUAAAACGGAAGAUUUCAUGAUGAACUUGGAGCUCUUCAGAUUGGCGGUCAAGGCUGUCCUCACUGCUCCUGCCUCUCUGCACAUUCCUCCUGCCCCUGAGGACUGAAGCCUUCUCAGCCUCCUCUGACAGAGAACCUGGAAGCAUCCAGACAAGCCCCAGCCCUCCAGCACUCAUGAGCGUGAGCGGGCUGUUUCUGCAGGACCUUCUGCCUGCCUGCCUUCUGAAGAUGGACUCCGGGCAGCACGGUUAAAAAGAAGACACGUUCAGUCCUGAGAAGGCCAUUUUAAAGUCUGUUAAAAAUAAAUGCGGAG